UACGUAGGGUGCAAGCGUUGUCCGGAAUUAUUGGGCGUAAAGAGCUUGUAGGCGGUUUGUCGCGUCUGCUGUGAAAUUUCGGGGCUCAACCCCGAACUUGCAGUGGGUACGGGCAGGCUAGAGUGUGGUAGGGGAGACUGGAAUUCCUGGUGUAGCGGUGAAAUGCGCAGAUACCAGGAGGAACACCAGCGGCGAAGGCGGCGCUCUGGGCCGGAACUGACGCUGAGGAGCGAAAGCGUGGGUAGCAAACAGG
rnacentral:rRNA from 1 species